CACGUGGCCGAAACAGAGAAGG
rnacentral:miRNA from 1 species